GGGUGGCUCACCUGAGGUCAGGAGUUUGAGACCAACCUGGCCAACAUGGUGAAACCCCAUCUCUACUAAAAAUAAAAAAUUUAGUUGGGGCUGGUGGCACAUACCUGUGAUCCCAGCUACUCAGGCUGAGGCAGGAGAAUUGCUUGAACUCAGGAGGUAGAGUUUACAGUGAGCUGAGAUUGCACCACUGCACUCCAGUGUGGGCAACAAAGCAAGACUUUGUCUCAAAAAAAAAAAAGUAAAUAAAAAAUAAAAUAAAAUGAUUUUUUAAGACAGUUGAAAAAAUCUUUUAAUACUUGUUACAUGUGACAGUGAUAGUAGAUAGCUAAGUAGAUAUAAAAUAUUUGUGCUGAAAUGUUUAGAAUAAAUUUGUGUGAUGCUUUGGAUUUAUUUUAAAAUACCCCAGUAGGCAAAAUAAAAGAUAGUAGGAAAUAGAUGAACCAAGAAUAGCAACAUGUGAGUGAUUUUUGAUGCUGCAAUACAGAUAUUUGGAGACUUCCCUAUUACUGUGAAGCUAUAAUGAUUUUCAUAGUAAACAACUUCAAAUUGUACCAUCAAAAGGUUAGAAUAAAAAUUUGCUACAUGCCAAUUUCACCCUUGAGAUGGUUUGGCUGUGUCCCCACCCAAAUCUUACCUUGAAUUGUAGCUCCCAUAAUCCCCACAUUAUAUGGGAGAGACCCAGUGGGAGGUAACUGAAUCAUGGGAACAGAUUUUCCAUGUUCUCGUGAUAGUAAGUCUCAUGAGAUCUGAUGAUUGUUUUAUAAAGGGCAGUUCCUCUGCACAUGCUCUCUUUGCCUGCCACCAUGUAAGACAUGCGUUUGCUCCUCCUUCCCCUUCUGCCAUGAUUGUGAGGGCUCUACAGCCAUAUGGAACUGUACCACAGUGGGACUGGAAAUUCAAUGUGAAGAAAAGAAGUUACAUCUCUGCUGUCUUAAAAAUGCUCCCCACUGGAGAAAAGGAAUCAAAAAGGAAGCUGAGCACAUGGGAAUCCUAUUGAUGCAACACAGGUCAGCUCUCAUGGGCAGAAAACAGCCUAGAAGAGAGUGGAGAAUAUUUCUCAAAGAGUGCAUGAAAUACAUCCAGCUUGAAGCAUCGCUCUGCUCAACAAAUGAGGAAAACAAAGGUAUAGAGAGAAUAGUAUUACGUUCUGCUUUUAUGUCCUCAUCUACCUAGAUGAGACGUGGCAUGGGUUUUUAAAAUUAAUUUCUAGGAAGCUGCCCAAUUAGGAGUUUGGUAGAACUUAUUCCCUCUUGUUUAUGAUAAUGCAAUGACAGAUUCAAUACACAAUUCAAUAAGCAUCCCUUAGACAUCAGCUAUGUAUCAGGCAUGGGAUAAGCCAUUGGGAGCUAGGGUUUCAGGACUAGUCCCUGAGGAUGUGAUAAACUAGGCAUAUUUUACAGCUAACAUUUUCCUGCAAUUCAACUCAGAGUAUCCUCAGUGAAUUAAGAGAGAUGAAGCAUGAUAAUGGCAGCUGUCCACAUGUUUAUUGAACUCAUAUUUAGUAAAUUCAGGUCUUUUGAGAGAAAGUGAGUGUCUGGUAAUGGUAUAUUGAACAGAAUUAGCAAAAAAUAUUGCAUCUAAGACUUCAGGAGAAACUAAAACACUCUAAGUCCUAAUGUGAUGGAAACCAGUCAGACUUCUUGGAAGAAAGCAACAGAAAUCAAAGUUGUCUAUCUUAAUUAAAAAGAGACUGACUAGAGAGGCAUCAAGAGUGAACAGCACAGACGAAGUCUGAAGGGUCAGGGAUAAAAAAUUGGAAGAAUCUAAAUAUGCUUCUUAAGUAAAGUAUAUGCCAGUCUGCUAUCAUAAAGAGAUGCUCAAAAGUUGAAGGUUAGCCUUGACAGAAUCAUUUUCCCAGAAAAAUCAGGCUAAACCAUACGGUUGGGUCAGCUCUUUCCACAAAGUCAAUCAGAAAUCCAGGUUUCUUUUCCCAUGUUGUUCUGUCACCCUCUAAUGUUAUCCUUUUUCACAAGGUAAAAGCUUUAUUGUUACAAUGACCUCAUAUAUACCUGUAGAAAAGGAAAAAGAAAGGUGAAUUGAAGCAAGAAAAGGACUGUGUGUUUGCUCCAUCUAGUCUAUGCAUAUCCAGUUGUCUGAAAUUUAGUCAUCUGGCUGCAUCCAGAUGCAGAGAAAGACAAAAAUGUAAGUCUGUUUAUAUUUAUCCAUGUGCCCAGCUUAAUCUUAACCAGAAAUAGGUAAGACUCAGUCACAAGAAUGGAACUCCAAAAGUUUGGCUGAGCAGAAACCAGAGCAAACAUUACUCUGUAAAAAUCUGGUCCAUGUUUCUUGUUGGUCACCACAAUGAGACUGACCUCUUAAUGUCCCUGUAGAUAUACAUCAUCCACUGUGUGUGUGCGUGUGUGUGUGUGUGUAUACACAGAUAUAUACAUAUAUAUACACACAUAUAUACACAUACACACACACACACACACAUAUAUAUAUAUAUACACACACAUACAGUGGAUGAUGUAUAUCAAUAUAGAUUUCUUGAGAUUUUUUGGAAUCUCAAGAAAGAGUGAUGUAUUGACCUGGCCAAAAUCAAUGAAUGCCUGUAUUAAUCUGUUUUCACACUGCUAUAAAGAAUACUACCUGAGACUGGGUAAUUAUGAACAACAAGGGUUUAAUUGACUCAUAGGUCUGCAUGGCUGGGGAAGCCUUAGGAAACUUGCAGUCAUGGCAAAAAAUGAAGGGGAAGCAAGCAAGUCUUUCAUGGCAGCAGGUGAGAGCGACAACCCAGGGAAAAUUGCCAUUUAUAAAACCAUCAGAUCCUAUGAGAAUUCACUCACUAUCACAAGAACAGCAUGGGGAACGCCACCCCCAUGAUCCAGUCACCUCCCAGUAGUUCCCUCCAUAGACACGUGGAAAUUACAAUUCAACAUGAGAUUUGGAUGGGGACACAAAGCCAAACCAUAUCAGUGUCCAACCAUAGAUACACUGAGGCAGGAAGAAAGAGGACAUGGCCUCUUCAAAAUUCACAGUGGGAUGCACCACUAGCACCUGCCAAAAACAAAUGUGAUGAGAAAUGCCCCAAACUGGAAGCCAAGAAGGAGGGCAUUUGUUUUUGUUUGUAUGUUUAACUGAUUUUGAGAAAGAGAAUACUCUAUCUCCCAGGCUAGAGUCCAGAGCCAUAGUCAUAGUUCCUGUCCUCCAGGAUCCUCUGGCUUCAGCCUCCCAAGAAACUGGGACUACAUUCACCACCAAGCUCAGCUAAAUUCUUUUUGGUAGAGAAAGGGUCUCACUGUAUUGCCCAGGCUGGUCUCAAACUCCUGGCCUUAUGUAAUCCUCCUCCUUCAGCCUCACACAGCUCUGGGAUGACAGGCAAGAGCCAUCACGCCCAGCUGCAACAAGGUAACUGGUAUUAGAAAGAUGAAAUCUACUGUAAGACAUAUUAUUAUUAAAAAGUUACCUUAAAAUUAUUCUAUAAAAUUUUUGUCCUUCACUUCAUUUGUCCAUUCAUUCUAGCUAUAUGCACUAUAAACUGAAUUACCGGUGGCACAAUGCUGGAAAUAUCAUUAUAAACUUUCUACCAAAUUUUUGAUCCUUAAAAAAAAAAUUCAUGAUUUUGGUGGAUUAUGGAAUGUUCUUAAUUCAAUAGCUUCUGGCUAACAUCAUGAUCUCCAGGGACCUUGCUACCAUAGUGGAAAGAACAUGAUUUUGAAGUCUGACAAAUUUGGAUUUAACCCAUGUAAUGCAGAGUCGCCAAAUAAGUCUGCCUCUUUGAGUUUUGUUUUCUCAUCUUUCCAGUGCACAUAAUAACCUUACCAUAGAGAGUCAUUUUAAAAGCUAAAUUAGAACAUGAAUAAAAACCGCUUCGCAUGUGGUAGGGAUUUGUGA
rnacentral:lncRNA from 13 species